rnacentral:rRNA from 1 species
AUGGGUUACAAUGGUCUGGAAGCAUGGGUUCGUGGCUUCAAUGAGAGGGAGAUUAUGAUGAUGGAUAAGGUUGGCCUUCCUCUCUGGAGGUGUCUUGUAUCACCUGAUGUGCCGCUGCACCUGGAGAAUCCACAUUCUCACGAGGCUAUUGACACUUUGUGUGCUUUACUGUCUUCCCAGAAGAUUGGAUUUCAGCUGAGACUUUACCGAAUGAUCAUGGCUCCUAUAUCAAUCAUGCAGGAGUGGUGCCUAUACGUCUUUGACAUGAAGCUGAAAAGGCUCAACAUGCUUGAUCCAGUUUACACAGAGCACAGCAAGCAUGCGUACAGGGACACACAUUCAUCCAUAAUUUUCAACACGCUUAACUAUUUCAAGCAUGUUGGGGGAUGA